rnacentral:lncRNA from 1 species
CAGACAGACAGCUGCUGUUCCUGACAGAACACACAGCAAACAACAACGAGCUGGCAUGUAAUUCACGGAAUAAAUCUCUUCAUCAUGAAUUCAAGCGGUGGAUUAGGCCUAUCAGACGAUGAAGAUAAGAUUACUAUUUUAUCUUGGAUCUACGUCUCGACUUUGAGUUUAAGUCUGAUAGGUAGUUGUUCUGUCGUUGUGGUUUCCAUCAUAAAGAGAAGGC